AAAAAGCUCGUAGUUGGAUUUCGGAACCGGCCGAUUGGUCCGUCCUCUGGAUCGUGUACUGAUCGGUCUGUUCUUCUUCGCGAAGACCGCGUGUGCUCUUAACUGAGUGGGCGUGGGAUUCGCGACGUUUACUUUGAAAAAAUUAGAGUGUUCAAAGCAGGCAGUCGCUUGAAUAUCUCAGCAUGGAAUAAUAGAAUAGGACUUUGGUCUUAUUUUGUUGGUUUCCGAGACCGAAGUAAUGAUUAAUAGGGACAGUUGGGGGCAUUCGUAUUUCAUUGUCAGAGGUGAAAUUCUUGGAUUUAUGAAAGACGAACUUCUGCGAAAGCAUUUGCCAAGGAUGUUUUCAUUAAUCAAGAACGAAAGUUGGAGGCUCGAAGACGAUCAGAUACCGUCCUAGUUCCAACCAUAAACGAUGCCGUCUGCGGAUCGGAGGUCGCUCAUGUAAGGCUCCUUCGGCACGCUAUGAGAAAUCAAAGACUUCGGGUUCCGGGGGGAGUAUGUUCGCAAGAAUGAAACUUAAAGGAAUUGACGGAAGGGCACCACCAGGAGUGGAACCUGCGGUUUAAUUUGACUCAACACGGGA
rnacentral:rRNA from 1 species